rnacentral:tRNA from 1 species
GGUCUAUUAGUCUAGUUGGUUAGGACGUCGGAUUCUGAUUUCACAUCAUAUUCUUCCGUAGGCCCAGGUUCGAAUCCUGGAUGGACCU